rnacentral:rRNA from 1 species
GGGGCGUUCGGAUUAUUGGGCGUAAGAGCUCGUAGGCGGUUUGUCGCGUCUGCCGUGAAAGUCCGGGGCUCAACUCCGGAUCUGCGGUGGGUACGGGCAGACUAGAGUGAUGUAGGGGAGACUGGAAUUCCUGGUGUAGCGGUGAAAUGCGCAGAUAUCAGGAGGAACACCGAUGGCGAAGGCAGGUCUCUGGGCAUUAACUGACGCUGAGGAGCGAAAGCAUGGGGAGCGAACAGGAUUAGAUACCCUGGUAGUCCAUGCCGUAAACGUUGGGCACUAGGUGUGGGGGACAUUCCACGUUUUCCGCGCCGUAGCUAACGCAUUAAGUGCCCCGCCUGGGGAGUACGGCCGCAAGGCUAAAACUCAAAGGAAUUGACGGGGGCCCGCACAAGCGGCGGAGCAUGCGGAUUAAUUCGAUGCAACGCGAAGAACCUUACCAAGGCUUGACAUGGGCCGGACCGGGCUGGAAACAGUCCUUCCCCUUUGGGGCCGGUUCACAGGUGGUGCAUGGUUGUCGUCAGCUCGUGUCGUGAGAUGUUGGGUUAAGUCCCGCAACGAGCGCAACCCUUGUUCCAUGUUGCCAGCACGUAAAGGUGGGAACUCAUGGGAGACUGCCGCAGACAAUGCGGAGGAAGGCGGGGAUGACGUCAAGUCAUCAUGCCCCUUAUAUCCUGGGCUACACACGUACUACAAUGGGCUCAAAUAGAGGGCAGCGAAGCCGCGAGGCAGAGCGAAUCCCAAAAACGAGCUCUCAGUUCGGAUCGGAGGCUGCAACUCGCCUCCGUGAAGUCGGAAUCGCUAGUAAUCGCAGAUCAGCAUGCUGCGGUGAAUACGUUCCCGGGCCUUGUACACACCGCCCGUCACACCACGAGAGUCUGCAACACCCGAAGUCGGUGAGGUAACCGUAAGGAGCCAGCCGCCGAAGUGGGGCCGAUGAUUGGGGUGAAGUCGUAACAAGGUAAC